UGCGUAGGCGGAAUAGUAAGUCAGUGGUGAAAUCCUGCGGCUCAACCGUAGAACUGCCAUUGAUACUGCUAAUCUUGAGUAUAGUUGAGGUGGGCGGAAUGUGUAAUGUAGCGGUGAAAUGCAUAGAUAUUACACAGAACACCGAUUGCGAAGGCAGCUCACUAAGCUAUUACUGACGCUAAGGCACGAAAGCGUGGGGAGCGAACAGGAUUAGAUACCCUGGUAGUC
rnacentral:rRNA from 1 species